rnacentral:lncRNA from 1 species
UGCAGUGCCUGAUGAUAUGCCAGGGCUCCUAAUAGGGCAUGUCGUUUUGAGUGGAAAUAGGUCAUUGUGGAAGAAAUUUGUUAUACUUGAUAUCGUGCUUCUCUUCAGAGCCACAGGGGCGAGAAGCACUGAUUUUGGUAGGUAUCGUUAUGAUUUUUUUUUCAGCCGGAAACCUAAAUUGUUGUUUUUUUCCUUCUACUAUAAGGAAGGCACAAGACCCCUGAACGUCAAAGGUUGGAGCCUUCGCCUCUGCCCCCAGCCCAGCUCACAGUGGUGCCGUAUGCCCAUGAGGUCCUGAAGUGUUACGACCUAAUGUGUAACUUCAUCGUUUACUCAUGUAGCAGCACCGAGGUUACUGUGUAAGGACAUGAAACAGCCGCUUCCUAACGACACCGCACACCGGCGGGCACCUGCCCGGGGAGCCGCGGCCGCACCAACCCAAGCGUGAAAGCCGUGGUUCCUCCGAGCCUGGCACGCAGCACGACUGCUCAUCCCGUGUGUGAACGGGAUGCUUGGCCCUUGAGAAACGUGCUCCCUGCAUUGGGCUGGAACACAGGAGAUCAGCACCUGAAAAGCUGGGGUGGGGAGCCACCGUGACAAACCCUGUGUAGACCUGGAUGUGCCUGGGAGGUGCUGGCAGAUGGCGAGCGUGAAUGUGACUCUCUCCCUGCAGCCAAACGUGUUGGCUUGUGCAGAAAAAUGCAGACUCCUUGUGCUUGUAUGGUGUUUUAUACUUUUUAUGUAGUCGGUUUUAAGCAAUGGAGAGGCAUCUCCAUUAAAGAAAGGCUUCCUCUACUCUGUAUGCAAAACAAUACAGGAAAACUAAACGGGUGCACGGGAGAAGAUGGAAGCAAAACCAAUCCUUUAUCUCCUCUGCCAGCCAGCCCCCAGAAGCAACACUUGAGCUCUGCUCAUUACCUGAACUUGUGAGUGUCAUUGAUACCGAGAUAUUGUUUGCUUUUCUAAUCCCAGCAGGGGAUUAGCUUGAAGCACAAGGACCAGGAGUCUUCAUAAUGCUGGACCACGGCAGCAAAACUGCAGCUGAUGCUGUUAUUCAACUCGGUAACUGAGUCUUUGAGGAAUUAUUCUGCAUUAUUUGCUUCUCUUGUAUCGCAUGGCAGGAAGCGCCACAGGAUAAUUACUCACAUUAGAAAUGCUUCCUUUGGUCUGUUUUGAACAUUUCACGUUUCAUCUUCCCGGGUGCCGUGUGUCUGACGAGCAUCCCGUGGACUGCAGAGCAAUUUGGGGAUGAUACCGGGGAGGGGGCUCCAGAAGGAGCUGGGACAGCCCUAAAAUGC